GGAGCAUGUGGUUUAAUUCGAUGAUACGCGAGGAACCUUACCUGGGCUCAAAUGUAUGUUGACGUAUUCUGAAAGGGAUUACGUCUUCGGACAAUAUACAAGGUGCUGCAUGGUUGUCGUCAGCUCGUGCCGUGAGGUGUCGGGUUAAGUCCCAUAACGAGCGCAACCCCUAUCAUUAGUUGCCAUCAGGUAAUGCUGGGGACUCUAAAGGAACUGCCUACGCAAGUAGUGAGGAAGGCGGGGAUGACGUCAAAUCAGCACGGCCCUUACGUCCAGGGCUACACACGUGCUACAAUGGCCGAUACAGAGGGCAGCUACCUGGUGACAGGAUGCAAAUCUCCAAAGUCGGUCUCAGUUCGGAUCGGAGUCUGCAACCCGACUCCGUGAAGUUGGAUUCGCUAGUAAUCGCGCAUCAGCCAUGGCGCGGUGAAUACGUUCCCGGGCCUU
rnacentral:rRNA from 1 species